CCACACAUCAGGCUGUUGGGCUCUAAGUGCAACCCAAACUUCAAGCUCUUCCCAGAGCCCAACUCAGGUUCAGGUGCUUCCCGUGGAGUUGCUCAAACAGUGUUUCAAAGUUUGAACCGUGAAUAAACUAGGAAGAAUUCCCCUACGGAAUUCUGCCAGCCAGACAUCACCAGUGCUCUUUCUUGUAAUGCACUUGAAAGCACGUUGCGUCCAGGAUCUGACAGUGGUACCUGAAAACUCAGCACAGGGAAUUCUAUUGCUGGACCAACGCAGUGGGUCAGAAAUGUCCACAGCUGGCCACAGCAUUCCGUGUAGCUGGAAAAUUCAUCAAUGGAAGGUACUGUGGAAAACCAGUUCAGCUCAUUCAGUCAUCAUGAUUCUGGUUGGUUCAGCGUCUCAUAUUUAAGGCAAAACUCUAACACUGUUAUGCUGUGGUCUUCUUUGAGUUCAUCUGUGCAAUUUGAAAUUAUCAAGGGAAUCGUGAGUCUUACAACUAGAGUAGAAGGAUAAAGCUGGGACAGUUUGCACAGAAAGCCCCAUCUCAAUCUAACGCUCCCCAUGCAGGCGAGUGUGAAACAUCGUCUGAGAUGAGCUCUUCUCUGGGCUCAGCCACGCCUUGCAAGAUCCCAAGAGAAUCAAAAGGCUUCAAGUGCGAAUCAAUCGGUAUGAACCUCUGUAUAAAUCCUGCCAACAGGAUGUCAGCAGCUGUCUCUAUCGUCAUACAUUUGGGAGGUGUGGCCACCAGGAUCUGACAGUAGUUCCCGAGGAGUCGGCACCGUCUAUCCUGGCCCCAUGCAGUGGGUCAGAAAAUCCCACAACCGGCCACACAGCUGAGGUCCUCCCAGAACACCAUCCAUUGAAGGUCCUGUGGGAAGUCAGUGAAGUUCAUUCAAUCAUCAUGAUUCUAGUGGGUUCAGUGCCCCGUAUUGAAGUCAGAACUCUAACACCGUUAUGCUUUAGUCUUCUUUCAGUUCAUCUGCGCGCAUUUAAAUGGAAGUCAUUGCUAUUCCUACAACUAGAGAAGUGACGAUGUAUUUACAGUGUAAAGGUAGGUACCCUUUAACGAGAAAGCAACAUCUCAAUCUAAUGCUUACAGCAGAUAAACCUCUUCCUGAAACAAUGUUGCCGUCCCUGACAAAAUUAGUCACUGUGUAGAACACUUUGAAAUUAACAUAAAACUGGAAGAGACAGUACAGAAAGCUCUCAGACCCUUUGUCCACACUUCUUUUCUGAACCCCUUUUUUCAGCGGUGUGGUUCACAUGUAACAGCAAUUACACCAGUAUUGCUACAUUCCUACCAACUGACGUCAGGAGCCUGCUUUGAGGCUCAGCGUGUUGUACCCUCUUUGGGUUGUGACAAACUCCGAAUGCCUCUCACCCCCCAGACGAAGGAGCUGGACGUCCCAACCUCUCCCUGUGCUUCCCCUGCCAAUCCCCUUACCCGUCUCCGGAUGCCCUGGCAACAACGGUCCUGUUCACUGUCUCUAGAGUUUCCUUUUCCAGAACUGUCUAUGCCUGGAAUCAUAGAGCAGGCAGCUUUUUUAGAGGGUCUUAUCCCACUCAGCGAUAUUUAUUCACGGCCAGCGUCUGACUUUGAGGUCACCCCGUGGCGGCUACCCUCUCUUCCCAGCCUUUCUUGGCAAGGCCUCAUGUUGGCUUCAGUGGGAACUUCUUUUCAUCUGCCCAGGCCCUUCUAACACCCACCAGUGUCAGCAAGACCAGGACCAGGGACAGCAGCAGCCUCCUGCCUUGGGGUCCUGGGACUGCACCCCCUCCCCAGUGAAAUUUCCCAGGAAUCUGUAGCCACCUCCCAGCCAGUUCUGAUAGGUAUCUGAAAAAGGAGGAUGCUCCAUGGAAAGAGUCAUGGAAACUUCACUCCAACCUUCUGUACUAGAGUGUCAUGAUUCACUGGAGAGAAUGUUCCCAAGAAUGUGGAAAGCCUGACUCCCUUCACCGCCUCUGCCAGCCACGGCUUCUGCGUGGUGGGCACGAUGUGCUCUGUAAAAUGAGAAAACGGGCUUCUUCAGGGACUGAGCAUCAGGCAAGCACGUGGCCCUCUUCCUAGGAGGAAGACACGAUAGGUCGUGCAUUGCAAGGCUGGAAAAGAUUUAUUCAGUGUCAUGACCAAAAGAAACUUCACCCAAUUCCCCGCCUAACCUCGUGGGUGAUACAGGUUUCUGCUGUCGUUCGAGGUCCUUUGGAAGAAAACAGGAUUCUUGCUUAAGAAAAUGUAGAUGAGAAAUGAGGCAUAUGACGGGUUGCGGAACAUGUGGAUUAUAAACACCACGUGAAAUGCUUUCGAUUUCAUAGAAUUCCGUGACCCUGCAAUUGAGCUCUUCAUAUUGUUUUUCCACAAAACAAAAAGAUGAGACUCACCAUUAGAAAAGAGUCACUUUUUCUCCAGAAACUGGCUUCUCAUAAGAAGAUUGCCCUGGACGUUUCUCACUCUCUAGAACACAGCGGCCCAGUGGUGCUUGAGAGAAAACCCAGGGUGAGGAAUUCAAUGCUAAAAGGAGCGACUACAAGACCAAGGGCUGAGGAACCCAGAGGCGGCCGCUCAGUGGACUCACGGGAGAAGGCAGGGCUGGGGCCCCAGGCUGGACCUUGAGAGGGAGAAGAUAUAGAGGGGGAGAAGGAAGUCCCAAGAGCACCCGGGCGCGGAGAGAACGAGGAUGGGGGAGGAUGGCUUCCAGGGUUUUAAUGUCAGGAGGCUCAUUACGUCAUAAUCCCCAGAGUCCAGUAAUUUUCGUGCUCCUUCUGAGUGGGAAAGAGCAGGGCGGACUGUCCUGGCUGCAGUGAGCCCCGCAUGGACACCUCUGCCUUUUCUCAAGAGAGGGGGGUCCUUCCUGAUGAAUCUCUGGGACAGGAGCUGGGGACUGGGGUCUUCAUCAGGUUGUGACAACGCAGACCUUUCCCAUCCUGGAAGCUGGCCACAGACAGAGCAGGAAUCCCAUUUCCGAUAUUCUGAGCCAGACUGGCGGGGGACAUAGUUCAGCAGGGAUAGACUCAAGCCCUCAGAAAUCACACACGAAUGAUUGCAUCAGAGCAUCCAACAACUCUGCAAGGAAACACGCAGGAAGGGAGUCACGUCUUCCUCAUCUGUGUAUCUCUAGAGCUGCACCAUCCAGCAUGGGAGUCCCGGCCUGGCGGUGCUGUGUAUAACCAGUUCAUUCGUGAGAGCAGUUCAUCCAAAUAGAAUGAGACAUUCUACUCCCCAGUCACACUGGCCACAUUUCCCGUGCCCCACAGACUUGGUGCCACCUGCCACCACAUUCAGGAGAGAGCAAGAUAAUUUGCAUCCACACAACACACCGUUGGGACUCUGCUCGGAGCAUGGCACUGGGUCUGUGCAUUGAACUCAUCUAACUACGAAACCCGUGCAUCAGAGCUGGAAUUUCAGAGACUCCAUGGUCAACAGAAGACAUGACGCAAGCAGUGAAGAAGGUGACACUCUGGGUUUGGAACAACCCAAGGGGGGACCCGAUAGAAGAGGGUGCCUGCAGCAGUCGGGGUCGGCCUGCGGCUUCAGAGACUAAGCAAGUGGGACAUGAAAUCAGAAAGAGAAAGGAGGUGUGUGUGGAAGGCGGCUUUGUCCUUGUCUCUCCUGACCCAGCAGGGAGAGGUUGGAUCCUCUGGUCUUUGAGUGUGCAGUGUCUGUGAUCAUUUUUUCCCUCUGCGGUAUUUAAAACAAUCUUUCCCAGCAAACCACUUCUUCCCUGCCUUUGCCUCAGCCAAUCUUCAAAGCCUUUGGUGAUGUGUGCAGCACCUCUUGGGAAAUGUACACAGCAGAUUUUGUCCCAGGUUUUGGGCAGCGACCAGCAGGGGAUGCAAACCGGGUGCCCAACUCUCUCGCAGGCACCACGGGAUCCGGGAACCAAACCUCCUCUAGCCAGUGCAGGCGGGGUGAGAAGCCGGCCCUCCCCCUCCUUGCUUUCAGGACCCUGGCCACUGCUUCCUGGUCUGCCUCACUGUCUCUUCCUGGUGGAAAGGCUGUUUGUUCCCUGGGCUGGACGAGGUAAGGAAUCCUCCCCUGGGAUCACCGCAAAUGUCCUGCAUCCUGGAGACGCAACAGGAAACACAGCCCUCAGCACGUUUCAGUCCCCAGGUGUCACCCAAAUGCCACAUCCUGGGAUGAGGAACAAAAGCUGAAUUUACUUUGAUUUGAGAGGCCCCAGUCCAGCUGCCCCUGGAGACCUUCCCCAUUUGAGAGGAUGUGUGAAGGGAGCUGGGCUUCCUGCCCAUGCUGAGUAUCACAGUCUCAGUGACUUCAUCCCUGGAAUCCUCCAGGCCCGGGACAGAGUCCCUGGCAGCAGGGAAAGGGCUCUCUGCACUCUCACGCCCACUGCCCUGACCAGACAGCACUGCCCUGCUGUCCACACUCCAGCCUCUUCUCUGUCUUCUGCCCUGCCGGGCACCAGGUUCCCACCCCGUUCUCCCACCCGCAGCGUGGUGCAAACCCAGACCCGUCCCCUCUCUGUAUGUAGCCAGAUCCUGCCUGUUAUCGAGUCCCUGGCUGCCUCACUUGCAGACUAAGGUUAUUUCCACAAGUUACAUGACCUCAAACUCAUGUUUAUCCUCUUAUGGGCUCUGGAACUGCCAUGAAGAUCCAAUGUCUCUGAAGGCCCCCAAAGUUAUACCAAAAGCAGAAACCUCACUUGGCAUAGUGAGUCUGAUGUAAUCCUCUCCCAUAGGACCCAACAUAACUGCAGGAUGGCGGGAAGGGAGCCCUGCCUGGGCUGCUCAGUUCGGUCAACUGAUCAAUUAAUUGGAGGUGGUGGCAGUAUGCCCACGGUGACUGCAUCAGGGGUUGGAGGACGAUAGGAAUGGUGGAAGGUGAGGAGGGGACAGGAAAUGGGUGUUAUCAUGGAGAAUGAAACAGGCCCUAAAGUGGGGAGGGCAGAGGGAAGUCCAUGUGAUGCACAGAAAGUUACGCAGACGGUGGCCAACUCUCAGAGACACAGAGAUGGCCCAGGCGACCCUUCCUGGUCACAGUUAUGGAAUGUGGUGACUGGAAAAGUGUUGGAGAUGGGGACCAAGAGGCUCCUGGGGCUGGGCUCCAUCAUCCCAGGAGUAACAGGAACCUGGUUCCCACCUGCACUCUAACUUCCUCCUUUCUUUCCCAAGGCCACCCUGUUGCGCUUCCUGCCGGAGGACAUGCAGCCGGGAAUGUGGCAAAUUGCAAGGAAUCUGAGAGUGGAGGCAGCGGCAUGCCUGUCAUUCAGUUCCUGUCUCAUCUUCCUUUCACCCUCCCUUUCCUUUCCAUCCCCCUUUUCUUUGUCAGGAGCUUCUCUUUGGAGCCCCGUGCCAUUCCCUCUUGCGUCUUUUAGGACCGUCCUCCUGAAGGACCUGGUCCCACCCAGGCAGCUGAGGUCCUGGGUCUGCACUGUGGAUGAAGCCCCAGCCCUCCUUUCACUGCCUUGGCCCUGUCCUGGGUGCUGACCCCAGGCUGCAGCACUGACUCCUGCUGAGCAGCCCCAAGGGCUCCAGGCAGGGAGCUGGGCUGGGGGAGGAAGGAAAGUCUGGGUCUGUCCUGGACACCCCCUCACAGGGCGUUUUCUGCCCUGGGGGCUCUGGACAUGCGCAGUUCUUCUCUUCCAGAAGUCAGGACAGUGUUCCAUUCUCCCUGCAGGAGAGGACACAGAGGACACAAAGGUGGAAGAAAAGAGAGGGAGUGAGCGUGGAGGGGCCGCACGAAGAGGGGCCGGCAGGACGUGCACACGGCCCAAUGCUCCUCGCACUUUCUUACUGCCCUGACCACUAAAUCAGUGCAGUCCAUCCCAGAAAACACUGGAGCAGCUUCUCUUAAGGGGAACUCAACAGCCGCAGAGGAGAGAAUCCUUUUCAACAAUCCACACACCAGAUUCCCAAAGGCUACCCAGUUGAACGUCUACAUUAAUUCGCUUCCGCAAGACAUUUAGGGAGACAGACUCAUAGGACAGAGCCUCACAAGGAAUUCGCUUCCCUGUAACUGACAAACGCUAAAGAGCAGUGAAGGUGAGUUAACCGUGGACGAGGCCUGUGGACAGGCAGCACCCACAGCAGAGAGCAGCAACCAGGCCUCAGUGCCCUGUGGACCUGAGCCGGGGGUCGUCAGGCCAUGUCACCUUCCAGGGCCCGAGGGGCUUCUUUCUGGGUCCUGCUCACCCAGACCAGCGAGCCCUCCUCCUCUCUCCCUGUGCCUUCCAGUGACCCUGCGCCCGGGUCUGUGUGGCAGAUCCUGUCCCCACACCCAGGCAGGCCCUGAUGUGCAGACCCCCCCAUGCCCAGAGAAGACCUGCAGCACGACAGGUUUCAGGGAGACGGAGACAGACAGGAGGCUUCCUCGCCUCAUUUAGCGGCGGUUAAUUUUUCAAUAUCACAGAUAUGGGAUUGUGUUUAGAAGUUUUUUUUUUAACUGUUUAUUUUUAAUGCAAGU